UGCAAAAGAAAGAUCCAGAAACAGCAAAGGGCGAAUUUUUCUUUUUCCUGGGUGCUGGUUCUGGUGCCGGUGGGAUCGGUCUGUCUCAGGUACCACGAAUUUACAAGGAAUUGAGUGAAAUUCGUGCCCUCGAGGGGGAAGGACCAAGUGAGGGUGGCAAGGUCAUUGAUGGUGGAUU
rnacentral:ribozyme from 1 species